CAAUAGCGUAUAUUAAAGUUGCUGCAGUUAAAAAGCUCGUAGUUGCAUUUCCGAGGCAAGGGAUUAGUCCGACCUUUGGUGGGUAUUUAAUCCUCUUGCCUCGUCCUUGAGUGGUGCUUCUUGGUAUUAAGUUAUCGAGGAGAUAGCCGCUCAUCGUUUACUGUGAGAAAAUUAGAGUGUUCAAAGCAGGCUUAUGCCGUUGAAUAUAUUAGCAUGGAAUAAUAAGAUAGGACCUCGGUACUAUUUUGUUGGUUUGAGAACCAAGGUAAUGAUGAAUAGGGACAGUUGGGGGUAUUCGUAUUCAGUUGUCAGAGGUGAAAUUCUUAGAUUUACGGAAGACGAACUACUGCGAAAGCAUUUACCAAGGAUGUUUUCAUUA
rnacentral:rRNA from 1 species